GCGGUAAUACGUAGGGGGCAAGCGUUAUCCGGAUUUACUGGGUGUAAAGGGAGCGUAGACGGCAAGGCAAGUCUGAAGUGAAAGCCCGGUGCUUAACGCCGGGACUGCUUUGGAAACUGUUUGGCUGGAGUGCCGGAGAGGUAAGCGGAAUUUCUAGUGUAGCGGUGAAAUGCGUAGAUAUUAGGAAGAACACCAGUGGCGAAGGCGGCUUACUGGACGGUAACUGACGUUGAGGCUCGAAAGCGUGAGGAGCAAACAGGAUUAGAUACCCUGGU
rnacentral:rRNA from 1 species